rnacentral:rRNA from 1 species
GACGAACGCUGUCGGCGUGCUUAACACAUGCAAGUCGAACGGAAAGGCCCUGCUUUUGUGGGGUGCUCGAGUGGCGAACGGGUGAGUAACACGUGAGUAACCUGCCCUUGACUUUGGGAUAACUUCAGGAAACUGGGGCUAAUACCGGAUAGGAGCUCCUGCUGCAUGGUGGGGGUUGGAAAGUUUCGGCGGUUGGGGAUGGACUCGCGGCUUAUCAGCUUGUUGGUGGGGUAGUGGCUUACCAAGGCUUUGACGGGUAGCCGGCCUGAGAGGGUGACCGGCCACAUUGGGACUAAGAUACGGCCCAGACUCCUACGGGAGGCAGCAGUGGGGAAUAUUGCACAAUGGGCGGAAGCCUGAUGCAGCAACGCCGCGUGCGGGAUGACGGUCUUCGGGUUGUAAACCGCUUUCGCCUGUGACGAAGCGUGAGUGACGGUAAUGGGUAAAGAAGCACCGGCUAACUACGUGCCAGCAGCCGCGGUGAUACGUAGGGUGCGAGCGUUGUCCGGAUUUAUUGGGCGUAAAGGGCUCGUAGGUGGUUGAUCGCGUCGGAAGUGUAAUCUUGGGGCUUAACCCUGAGCGUGCUUUCGAUACGGGUUGACUUGAGGAAGGUAGGGGAGAAUGGAAUUCCUGGUGGAGCGGUGGAAUGCGCAGAUAUCAGGAGGAACACCAGUGGCGAAGGCGGUUCUCUGGGCCUUUCCUGACGCUGAGGAGCGAAAGCGUGGGGAGCGAACAGGCUUAGAUACCCUGGUAGUCCACGCUGUAAACGGUGGGUACUAGGUGUGGGGUCCAUUCCACGGGUUCCGUGCCGUAGCUAACGCUUUAAGUACCCCGCCUGGGGAGUACGGCCGCAAGGCUAAAACUCAAAGGAAUUGACGGGGCCCCGCACAAGCGGCGGAGCAUGCGGAUUAAUUCGAUGCAACGCGUAGAACCUUACCUGGGUUUGACAUGGAUCGGGAGUGCUCAGAGAUGGGUGUGCCUCUUUUGGGGUCGGUUCACAGGUGGUGCAUGGCUGUCGUCAGCUCGUGUCGUGAGAUGUUGGGUUAAGUCCCGCAACGAGCGCAACCCUUGUUCACUGUUGCCAGCACGUUAUGGUGGGGACUCAGUGGAGACCGCCGGGGUCAACUCGGAGGAAGGUGGGGAUGACGUCAAGUCAUCAUGCCCCUUAUGUCCAGGGCUUCACGCAUGCUACAAUGGCUGGUACAGAGAGUGGCGAGCCUGUGAGGGUGAGCGAAUCUCGGAAAGCCGGUCUCAGUUCGGAUUGGGGUCUGCAACUCGACCUCAUGAAGUCGGAGUCGCUAGUAAUCGCAGAUCAGCAACGCUGCGGUGAAUACGUUCCCGGG